UUUCCGUAGGUGAACCUGCGGAAGGAUCAUUAUCAUACAACUGAGGUGUGACGGCUGUCGCUGAUCUUUAGAGGUCGUGCACGCCCAAGCACUCUCACACAAUCCACCUCACCACCUUUUGUGCAUCCACCGCGUGGGCCCCCCUUUUGCAAAGGAGGGUUUGCGUUUUCACAUAAAACUUGUUACAGUGUAGAAUGUUUUUUUUCUUUUGCGGUUACACGCAAUCAAUACAACUUUCAACAACGGAUCUCUUGGCUCUC
rnacentral:misc_RNA from 1 species